AACGAACGCUGGCGGCAUGCCUAACACAUGCAAGUCGAACGAGAUCUUCGGAUCUAGUGGCGCACGGGUGCGUAACGCGUGGGAAUCUGCCCUUGGGUUCGGGAUAACAGUUGGAAACGACUGCUAAUACCGGAUGAUGACUUCGGUCCAAAGAUUUAUCGCCCAAGGAUGAGCCCGCGUAAGAUUAGCUUGUUGGUGAGGUAAAGGCUCACCAAGGCGACGAUCUUUAGCUGGUCUGAGAGGAUGAUCAGCCACACUGGGACUGAGACACAGCCCAGACUCCUACGGGAGGCAGCAGUGGGGAAUAUUGGACAAUGGGCGAAAGCCUGAUCCAGCAAUGCCGCGUGAGUGAUGAAGGCCUUAGGGUUGUAAAGCUCUUUUACCCGGGAUGGUAAUGACAGUACCGGGAGAAUAAGCCCCGGCUAACUCCGUGCCAGCCGCCGCAGUAAGAC
rnacentral:rRNA from 1 species